rnacentral:rRNA from 1 species
AGAGUUUGAUCCUGGCUCAGGAUGAACGCUAGCGGGAGGCUUAACACAUGCAAGUCGAGGGGCAUCACGAGGUAGCAAUACUUUGGUGGCGACCGGCGCACGGGUGAGUAACGCGUAUGUAACCUACCCUGUACAGGGGGAUAGCCCGGAGAAAUUCGGAUUAAUACCCCAUAAUGAUAUUUUGAGGCAUCUUAGAAUAUUUAAAGCUUCGGCGGUACGGGAUGGGCAUGCGUGACAUUAGCUAGUUGGUAAGGUAACGGCUUACCAAGGCUGCGAUGUCUAGGGGUCCUGAGAGGGUGAUCCCCCACACUGGUACUGAGACACGGACCAGACUCCUACGGGAGGCAGCAGUGAGGAAUAUUGGUCAAUGGGCGUAAGCCUGAACCAGCCAUCCCGCGUGAAGGAAGAAGGCGCUAUGCGUCGUAAACUUCUUUUCCGAAGGAAUAAAAUUUCGUACGUGUACGGAACUGAAGG